rnacentral:rRNA from 1 species
GGGGGAAAUUUAAUUAUUAAUAAAUAAUAAAAGAAAUUUUUAAUUGAAUAUAUUUUAAUGGGGGUUAAAGUAUAAAGAAAUGAAAAAAUUUGAAAAUUUAUAGGGAAGUAGUAUUGUAAAAGAAUAUUGAAAUAUUUGAAAAAGAAUUAAUUAAAAAGUAAAUUUUAUUUAUUGUAUCUUGUGUAUCAGAGUUUAUUAAAAAAAUUUUUCAAUUGAAAAAUUUUCGAAUUUAAAAGAGUUAAUUAAUUAAGUAUUUUAUUGUUAUAUAAAUAUUUAAAAUAAUUAAUUUGAAAUGAAAUGUUAAUCGUUUUUAAAUAUAUCUAAUUUUUUUAGAAAUAAAUUAAAUUUAGAAUUUUAUAUUAAUUUUAUAUUUUAUUUUAUGAAAUUUAAAAUAAAAUUUAAUAUUUUGGGGGAUAAUCUUUAAAUUAAAUUAUUAUAAUAAUAUAAUAUAUUUUUAAAAUUUUUAAAAUUUAAAUUGUUUAUAAAUUUUAUUUUUUUAUAAAAAUUUUUAUCUAUAUAUAAAAUUUUUAAUUAAAAUUUAAUUUUUUAUAAAAAAAUAAUUUAUAAUUUUAUAUAAUUUGAAAUAAUGAUAAAAUUAGUAUAAUUUAAAAAAAAUAAAUUUUUUAAUAAUAAAUAAUUAAGUAAAAGGAACUCGGCAAAAUUAUUUAUUUAUAUUCACCUGUUUAACAAAAACAUGUCUUUUUGAUUAUAAUUUAAAGUCGAAUCUGCCCACUGAUUUUAUAUUAAAGGGCUGCAGUAUAUUGACUGUACAAAGGUAGCAUAAUCAUUAGUCUUUUAAUUGAAGACUUGUAUGAAGGAUUUGAUGAAAUAUAAACUGUCUCUUAUUUAUAAUUAAAACUUAAUUUUUUAGUAAAAAAGCUAAAAUAAUUUUAAAAGACGAGAAGACCCUAUAGAGUUUUAUAAUUUAUUUAAUUAAAUAAUUUUUAUGAAAUUAAAUAAAAUAAUUAAAUAAAUUAUUUUAUUGGGGUGAUAGAAAAAUUAAUUUAACUUUUUUUUUAUUAAAACAAUAAUUAUUGAAAAAUUGAUCCAUAAAUUAUGAUUAUAAGAAAAAAUUACCUUAGGGAUAACAGCGUAAUUUUUUUUUUUAGUUCUCAUAAGAAAAAGAGUUUGCGACCUCGAUGUUGGAUUAAGAUAAAAUUUAAAUGUAGAAGUUUAAAAUUUUGAUCUGUUCGAUCAUUAAAAUCUUACAUGAUCUGAGUUCAAACCGGUGUAAGCCAGGUUGGUUUCUAUCUUUAGAAAAUUUUAAUAUUUUAGUACGAAAGGAAUUAAUAUAAAAAAUAAUUUUAAUAAAAUGAAUAUUAUUAAAUUUUUAAUUUAAUAAAUUAUAUAUAUAUAUAUAUA